rnacentral:lncRNA from 1 species
UAUCAAAUAAUUAUUGGCGUACACAAGAAACAUUACCUAUUUUGUAAUAUAUUCGCAUCCAGGAAUUACUUCAAUACGCUUCAACAAUGACUCAACUAAAAGUUGCAACUGAAUAUCAGAAAGUUUUCACUUAUUAUUGGCUUACACAAGAAACCUGGUCUAUUUUUUAAUAUAUUUGCAUCCAGGAAUUACCUCAACACACUUCAACAAUUAAUGAUUCAACUAAAAUCUGCCACUAAACACCAGAAGGUUCCUUCUAAUAAUGGGCUUCCUAUUUACAUAACAAAACUUUGUAAAUAUUUUCAUCCAGUAAUUGUAGAUCAACACUUAUCAACAAUGACUUGACUAAAACUGCCAAUGGACACCAACAGAUUCCCAC